GCGGGUGUAGCUCAGUUGGUAGAGCGCUUGACUUCCACUCAAGCUGUCGCAGGUUCAAUUCCUGUCACCCGCUCCA
rnacentral:tRNA from 1 species